CUCAAUCUCGUCCUCGAAGCUCCAUAUCUGCUCCCCGAACACGCCGGCGGUCACCUCCGGCUCCCAGCCCUCGGCGUCGUCCGACGAGGAGGACGCCGCGGCCGCCGGCGGCAAGCCGAGCUCGUCGUCCGAGGCCUCGAGCAGGAAGCCUAGCUCUGGCUGAGGCGGCGUCAGGUCGUCGGCGCAUAUCUCCUCCUCAAGGCUCCGCAUGACGGACGCCAGGUCGCCGGCCGCCGCGGCGUUGGUGUCGUCGUCGAGCAGGUCCAGUAGGUCCUCGGGCCUCAUCCUCUUGGCGGCUUCCGCCUCAGCGGACGAGACAACUUCAAGGUCGGCACCCCUGGCCCUCUUGUUGCUGCCCGCGUACGAACUCAGCAACAGAGACGAGGAGGAGCUCUCCAUGGCCGAUGCACAGACUACGCUUGCUUCUCUUUCCCUUUGCUUCGGGUGCAACGGUCGUGGAGCGCCCAGGCAUAUAAGAGCAUCUUCAGUCGCGCCCUCAAGAAGUUGCCCCUCGGGCGUUUUUUCGUCCACCGGCGUCAAAAAAUCGGUCCAGUCGCGCUUUCAAAAGCCCAGUUUUCGCCGGCUCGAGCCAAAAUUGGCGCCGGUGGACCCAACCCGAACCCGGCGCGCUGAGGGUUGCUCACGGGCGCCGGGCGAAUCGUUUUUGGCACGAAGAGCCGCGGGUCCGCCGCGUCAGCAACUCUACUCUCUUCUCGCCCCUUCGUUGUCCUCAUCGCCUCGUUUUCCGCGGCGAAUCAAUGGCAAAGCUGCCGCGCCGGUCAGCCUCCAUUGAUGCCUCACGGGCGGCGCAGUGAAGGCUGGGCGACGCGUGCCUCGGCCGCCACGCAAUCACGCCACGCGUAACGCGCCGGCCAAGCCUACCACGCGGCGUCUCCGCCUAUAAAAGCCGACUGCAAGCGCGCCGGAGAGACUCACCCCGAUCAUCCACCGAUGACGCGCUCAUUUCUUCCCCUUUCCUCCUCUCGCCGUCACCAGUUGAGAAAGCAUGGCCGAGCAUUUCCCAGGCGACGGCGCGGCGGCGAACGGAUUCGGACGCCGUCAUCUGCAUGAGGACGAGGCUCGCCUCCUUUUCGAGGCCGAGUAUCCGGUCCCGCCAGACAUGCGGGUGCCCGGGGCGUGGAGGAUCAACGCCGGCGGCGUGCCGGUGCCCCCGGUACCCAUCGGUGCGGCGCGGCGUGCGGAGAUCGCACGCAUCCGCUCGUCCCUGCCGCAUGCGGCGAGGGAGGGGCCCCGGUACGUCCCCGACAGCCCAAUCCGGGAGCCGUACUUCCGCCGCCGGCACGACGAGCAGCUCGAGGCCACCAACGGCAUCGUGCCCUCCGACAGGUUCAACGCCGCCGGCCGGCGUCGGUGGUGGGGCGUGCCCGGGCGCACGUUGGAGUCUGUCCUCGAGUACAUCGAGGGCGCAACACGCCGUGCCUCGAGUACCCCGCUCCCCCGUCCUUCUCACGCCGCCGGGGAAGCUCCUGGAGGCCGAGGCGCAUGGAGACCGGGGUGUCCUCCUCCUCGUCCGGCGGCUCUUCCUGCCUCCACCUCCGCCCCGUCAAGCCGGAGCCCCAGGACACGCCUGUCAGCGCGCGUACCCGCAGCUCCGGCGCCCUCGUCGAGCCCAAGGUGGAGUCCAGCCUCCCCUUGGAGUACGAGGAGAUAGCCCGGCGCGGCUUCUCCGACGAGGACGCCAUGCGGUGGUCGCGCAACGACUACCUGUUCGAGGAGAUGGUCCGGCAGCGCCGGGCCCUGGAGGAGAUGGCCGCCCGCAAACGUGGGCGCGAGGACGAGGACGGUAUCGUCGUCCUCGAUAGCGACAACGACGACGCCCCCAGACCGUCCAACCCGUCGCGCCAACCGGGGGAGGGAUGCAGCAGGGACGGCGGAGGCGUAGGCGGGGGCGACGACGACGACGGCGGCGGUGACUACACGCGGUUCUACAGCCUCCUCGGCAUGUAGAACCGCGUGGGCGGGCGGCGAGGGAGACGGCGGGAGUAGCCCGCGGUAGUUUUUUCUUUUUUUUUGUAAAAUAUGUUUAAAUUUGAACGAACUCGCCCGUGUUUGCGUUGUGUUUGCGCCGAAUUUGAACAUUUUAAAAACCCGUGAGGGACCGCGACUGGGGGCAUCAUGCCCCCAGUGCACGGUUUAGCGCCGGUACGCCCCCAUGGGGCGAUUUGUUGCCCCUCCUGGGGGGCCAACGGCUGGAGAUGCCCUAAAUAGUGAGAGAUCGGUCUGGCUUCACAGACAUAAUUGACAUACGAGCGGCCGGAAUGAUUUUGUUACGGACGCCUCUAACUGGCGGCCGGCUACCCACUAGCACUCCAUGGUGGCCAGCCGAAAAAGGUAAGUUUUUGUCUUCCUGACUCAUAUUAGAAAAAGUAAACAUGUGUGGACAUAUUUGAAGAGGAUAAAUAAUUGUAAAACAUCCAUGUGAAUAGAUGUGAACGUAUUUAAUUUGUGUUUUCAGUUUUAAAAAAAUCAUAACUUUCAAACCGCGCAUCGAAAUUAAGAUCCGUUUUCACUUUUGAAACCCUCGUGGCGUGCUCUUCGAAACUAAAUCCCGCAUGGCUAUGUUUUGACAAAAAAAAUUGUGCAAUUUUCUCCUUGUUUUGUGCAACUGCCUAGCCGUUGGUGUGCAACUACCUGACAGGGAUGUGCAACUUUUGUCCAAUACCGUAAACAUGCAGAUUUCAAUGAUGGUGCAAAACUAACUCCUUCCAAUGAGAUGUGCAACUUCGUCUGUUACACAGGCCAACUGCAUAGUAGUUGAUCCGCAACUUUUUCCUGCCCGUGGAUGUGCUUCACUAUUUGCUGCAUCGGCCAACAACCUAACAGUGGAUGUGCAACUCCGUAUACUGCCACGGCCAACUGUCUAACUGUGAUUUGCAACUUUCUCUCGUACCCCAUGGAUGUGUAGUUUUCCUACUAGCACACGGCCCAAACCACCCCCUAGUGAGCUUUGCAACUUUAGUACUCUGUUUAUAUGUAACUUUUUACCAUUCAACUGUCCCUGCCUGUGAGAUGUGCAACUUCGUAUAUUGCCCCUGGCCAACUACCUAGCAGACUAUGUGCAACUUUGUUUGUUGGUCCCGCCAACUGAAAAUACAAGUCCACAAUUAGAGAGCGUAGGGAGUUGCACAUUGACUAAUAGGCAGUUGGCUUGAACAAUAGACUAAGUUGCACAUAUCCCUUGCAGGGGAGGUGGGGGUAGGGUGUGGCAAUAGUGAAAAACUACGCAUCCACGAGUAGGGAGGAGGGUUGCACAACGACUACUAGGUAGUUGGUCGGGACAGUAGACUAGUUGCACCAUAUAGCAUGAAAGUUGGCAUCGAAAAAAUUUCGUCGAAACAUACCCAUGUGGGAUCUAGUUUCAAAGAUCUCGUCACGAGAAAUCCAACCGUGAAAACGGAUCCAAAUUCCGACGCAUGGUUUGAAAGAUAUAACUUUUUAAAAAUUUGAAAAAUCCGAAAUAAAUAGACGUGAAUCUGUUUUUCGUCACAUGUGACAAGUCUGACCGCAUUUAAUGCUAGUAGUCACAUGCACUAGCAGACAAUACAUGCAUGUAUGCAUGCGAGUGACAAAGCGGCCGCUCGUUCUCUCCAACAAACGCGCGUGCAUUUUUAAGAUUUCAGGUCUUCUUACAUGCGAGCGCAUAACGUGUCCUUGUCGACAAGUACAGGUGCGCAAUUACCUACGGAACAUGUGUUGAUGCGUUCGUCUCUUCACGUUAAACAGAGAAUACACACGCAUGCAGGGGCACCUCAAUGAGGAAUCAAUGGACCAAUGGAGCCAUGCGCAUAUAUAUAUUGUUAGAUUUUCUAUUUUUACAAAUAUUAUUAGAGCAUCUACAAUCGGACGCUUCAAACUGAGUUCAAACACCCGGACGGACAGAUCGGUCAAAGAAAAAAAAUGAUACACCCGGCAUGUGACGGCCUCCUCCUCUCGAGUUGUCGUUGCAAGCGGAAUGAUUAUGGCAUCAUGCAUGAUGAGCACCAGCGGCAUCACUCGCAAGUUAGACGAACUGAGACCACUUGACAAAGAAAAUUAAACGGAAUCAGCCGAGCGUACGAUCGCUCUCUUCUUUCUCUGUAUGUGAAGAAAAGAAAAAGGAUAUGUGUCCGCUGUGUUCCCAGGGAGUGAGAAAAGGCGGGCGGGGCGACCAUUGACGUGGUUCUCUCGGCUCGGUUGGCGCCGCCCGACCUUUGGUGCAUCGCCAGGGGAAGGCAACGCCGUGGACCGGAUCGGCAUCGGCGGCACGCUGCGGCGGCCAGCAAAGACCGGCGACAUCCACAUGCGCCGCGUCACCGGGUCAGUCCCGUGGUAGAAUCAUGCUGCUGCCGCUUUGAUCAUUCGCACGUCGCCACCCGCCUGCCUCUUUCCCUUCUUUCACCGGGAACGAAAUCGUGGCUCACACACAAAGUUCGCCGGCCUAAUUUAUUCCGCAGCGCUAGAUCUGACUUCCGUUUCUCAUACGGAUUUUUGCCCAUCCCUCAGACGCUACUGCACUGGAGGGUUCUCCUUCCGCAUCGUUGCGUGGCUGCUUUGAUUGCAGGCUUUUGUAUUUUAGAAUAUCUACAGCCAGAUGCUUCAAAUCCGUCCUAUAAAUUUGGGUGGAUGGCUUGGUCAUUGACUGGUCACGAAAAUGUGAACUAGACGAUUGCCUUAAACAGGUCUUAAAUGCCCAGGCUGAUCGCACCUGUCAGGUCGAGCCAAAAUAUGGGAUGGACAUGGGGCGCCUGGUCGCGUCUGUCAGGUCGGACUGGCGCUAGAGUCCCAGACGAAAACAGUCCGGAACCCGGCGGUUUGAAGCUCUUCUCCUCAGUCGGAUCGAUGUCGCCGCGCGUGGCGCGGCUCCGACGGGCCACAUGUACCUAGGCCGGCUAUUUAAGCCUACCGCCAGAACUUAACGCUACCCUCCACAUUUUCCUCCUCCCGUUCGCUGUCGCCGCCACAUUCCACUCCCCGUCUGCCACAACUAGUAGACAUGCCCUCACGAUGUUGAAUGAGGAGCUAUCCAUUUCUAACUUCGGAGCGCUAGCUACAGUUCCUUGAGCAGAUCUAGGCAAGGCGCAAGUCCGGAUCACCGUGGGGCUAUCUUCAGAUUAAUUGGAAACAUACGAGGAGGAGUCGGGGGAGGAUGUGGGGAACGCUGGGGACGAGGAUCUGUAGACGGAGCAGCAAGCCAUCCUCGACUCCCUCUGCUUGGAGUCGGCUGCGGAGGCUAGAUGCCAUUGUCGGCAGGAGAUGGAGGAGGAGGAGAUGUUCGCCUACAUGUAUGGGGACAAGGAGGAGGAGCCAGAGCCCUCCUACGCACCCGUCCACCCGGCAUCAACGUCGUAGAUAUCUCCGAUGACGAAGAUUAGUUAGGGUAGUAAAUAAAUAGAAUUUUUGCAUGCUUUGUCUGGAUCUAGGGUUAAAAUACAAGAGACUUAAAUAUGGAGUAGCAAUUUUAAGGCGUGGUCGAUCACUGUCCAUAUGGACGCAUCCGGUCGCGUCCACAAGUGUUUGAGAGACCGAAUUUGCCAAGUCCAACUAUAAAUGCUAUUACCCACAGUGAUCGAGCCCGAUAGGGCAAAUUUCUAAUCCCAGCCGCCCAAACUUCCCUGCUCAAGGAAUACCGUACUUUCAACUCGUGAGAUCCCCACCCCCCAAUAUAAUAUUUUGAAUUCAUAUGAGAAAUUCUAAGAACCACAGGUUACUCGAUGACUCGAAUCUGGGUAAGCUAGACAGCUUCGUGCUAUACUAACCAACAAGGUGACACCCAGUUCACAGAUCUUCAAUCUUCAGUGUACACCCGGUUGUGGCAAACAUCGUCGACAGUAUUGCACGAGUAGACGGUGACCUGCCGUGGGAAAGGACAACCCCGAAAGAGAUCCAAGCUAGGGAGAGGACAGCCACCACGUCAUGCCCAGUGCUCGAAUCUAGAAAGAAAAAAAUAUGAACGGUCAAUCUCGCGCUGUCGUGCAAAUUCAUUUUUCAAGUGCCAUUGACAAAGUUAGCCGUCAAGCAACAGCUUAGCUUCGCCGAGAAAUACGAUUCAUAAUCUCUUGGCUGGCUGGCUCGAUAUUUUUCGUACUAGGAAACUAAUUCAAUCAUUGUUCAAAAAAGAAAAAGAAAAACUAGUUCAAUCAGUUUUAUAUGCGUUUUUUAUUUAGGAAGAGAAAAUAUGUCCCCAGACACAUUGACACAACAUGUUUCCACAAGACUUUCGUGACAACUCCGAUGUGUUUGCAUUACUUUAUGAGGACGGCAAAUAUGAAUAUGAAUGAGAUGGUAGUUGUUACAACUUCCAGAUUGCCUGUAUUAUACUGGCGGAUACGUGUAGACAAAAUUCCAUGCAUCUUGGCAAAUGCUCUUGUUUUAUACGUGUAGAAAUUAUCCGUUCCAUCCAACUCACAUCCAAGUAUCUUUUCUCCUCUUCUAGAAUAUACGCUGGAGAAUUAUUGGCCUAUCUUUUCUUAAAUAAAGUGAACAUGAGGAACACUAGAAGAUUGUGAUUUCCCAAUCCGUGUGAGUGGGCAGUUGAAUCACACAUGCUUUUAUCUUUCUUUUUUUCUCACUAUUACAGUACUAUUUAGGUUUGUCAUGUCAUUAGGUUAGGUCAACGUCCAACGUGCAGGCACCCUAUCAUUUUGAACAUUUUCAUCAACGGCCACAAAUCCGCAUCUGCUUUUGGCUCGUACACUCGCUUUCAUAAUACUAACAUAAUUUUCAUCGACAAAGUAAAAGACACUUUAGCGGAUUUAUUUAAUUUUUUUCGUUUCAUAUAAAAAGAAAAAUUCCAAGAACAACAUAAAUAUGAAGCUAUUUUUUCUGGAACAUUGAGAGAAAUUUUUUUUCUUCGGAUGAUUUUUUUUCUCUCUACAUGAUUCAUUCGAAGCAACACAUUUUCCAGGUUUCUUCUCCACAGGUUUUCAUCUUGCAUCUAGAAACUUUACAUCCCCAAAGGUUAAAAAAGGGUAAAGCUAAUGUUAGCCAAAGGUAAAAAAGAAAAGGCUAAUCCAUUCACUAAUGACUGAUCAAACGGAGGGCAUGGUCUCCUGGCGAAGCACGGCGAGAUCGGACGGCCCGAAGGACUCGUCGCCGAAGCCAAACAGGCAGGCGUCGAAGCCGUCGUCGCCCCACUCGGCUGCGGCCGCAGCAGCCGGCACGGCGGCCUCCGGCGAGUAGGCAACGCCGCCGAAGGCGUAGGCGCCCUCAAUCUCGUCCUCGAAGCUCCAUAUCUGCUCCCCGAACACGCGGGCGGGCUCCUCUGGUUCCCAGCCCCCAGCGUCGUCCGACGAGGAGGACGCCCCGGCGGCCGGCGGCAGGCCAAGCUCGUCGUCCGAGGCCUCGAGCAGGAACCCUAGCUCUGGCUGCGGCGGCGUCAGGUCGUCGGCGCAUAUCUCCUCCUCAAGGCUCCGCAUGACGGAGGCCAGGUCGCCGGCCGCCGCGGCGUCGGUGUCGUCGUCGAGCAGGUCCAGCAGGUCCUCCGGCCGCAUCCUCUUGGCGGCCUCCGCCUCCGCCUCAAGGCCGGCAUCCCUGGCCCUCUUGUUGUUGCCGGCAUACGAACUCGGCAACAACAGAGACGAGGAGGAGCUCUCCAUGGCCGAUGCACACACUAUUCUUCCUUCUCUUUCCCUUUGCUUCGGGUGCAGCGGUCGUGAAGCGCACAGGCAUAUAAAUAGUGAGGAGAUCGGUCUGUCUUGAAAACAUAAUUGACAUACGAGCGGCCGGAAUGAUUUUCUUACAGGCGAGCGCAUAACAUGUCCUUGUCGACAAGUACAAGCGUGCAAUUACCUAUGGAACAUGUGUUGAUGCGUUCGUCUCUUCACGUUAAACAAACAAUAGACGCGCAUGCAGGGGCACCUCAAUGAGGAACCAAUGGACCAAUGGAGCCAUGCGCAUACAGAUAUCAUUAGGUUUUCAUUUCCUACAAAUAUUGAUAGAGCAUCUACAGUCAGGCGUUUCAAACCAAGUCCAAAUGCCAGAGUGGAUGGACCGGUCAAAAAAAUUAUAUACCUGGACGUCUCAAACCGGGCUCAAACACCUGGGC
rnacentral:lncRNA from 1 species